rnacentral:rRNA from 1 species
UACGAAGGGGGCUAGCGUUGCUCGGAAUCACUGGGCGUAAAGGGCGCGUAGGCGGCCUGUUAAGUCGAACGUGAAAUCCCUGGGCUCAACCCAGGAACUGCGUCCGAUACUGGCAGGCUUGAAUUCGGGAGAGGGAUGCGGAAUUCCAGGUGUAGCGGUGAAAUGCGUAGAUAUCUGGAGGAACACCGGUGGCGAAGGCGGCAUCCUGGACCGAUAUUGACGCUGAGGCGCGAAAGCCAGGGGAGCAAACGGG